UACAGAGGGUGCAAGCGUUGUUCGGAAUUAUUGGGCGUAAAGGGCGCGUAGGCGGUGCGGUAAGUCUAUAGUGAAAUCUCCGGGCUCAACUCGGAGCCUGCUAGGGAAACUGCCGUGCUUGAGUGUGGGAGAGGUGAGUGGAAUUCCCGGUGUAGCGGUGAAAUGCGUAGAUAUCAGGAGGAACACCUGUGGUGUAGACAGCUUACUGGACCACUUCUGACGCUGAGACACGAAAGCGUGGGUAGCAAACAGG
rnacentral:rRNA from 1 species